rnacentral:rRNA from 1 species
CGUGGGAACGUGCCCUUUAGUUCAGAAUAGCCACUGGAAACGGUGAGUAAUACUGGAUACGCCCUUCGGGGGAAAGAUUUAUCGCUAAAGGAUCGGCCCGCGUUGGAUUAGCUUGUUGGUGGGGUAAUGGCCUACCAAGGCGACGAUCUAUAGCUGGUCUGAGAGGAUGAUCAGCCACACUGGGACUGAGACACGGCCCAGACUCCUACGGGAGGCAGCAGUGGGGAAUAUUGGACAAUGGGGGCAACCCUGAUCCAGCCAUGCCGCGUGUGUGAAGAAGGCCCUAGGGUUGUAAAGCACUUUUAGUAGUGAGGAAGGCUCAGCAGUUAAUACCUGCUGGGAUUGACGUUAGCUACAGAAAAAGCACCGGCUAAUUUCGUGCCAGCAGCCGCGGUAAUACGAAAGGUGCAAGCGUUAAUCGGAAUUACUGGGCGUAAAGCGCGCGUAGGCGGCUUGGUAAGUUGGAUGUGAAAGCCCCGGGCUCAACCUGGGAACUGCAUCCAAAACUGCCUAGCUAGAGUAUGGUAGAGGAU